UUAAUUGAAGAGUUUGAUCAUGGCUCAGAUUGAACGCUGGCGGCAGGCCUAACACAUGCAAGUCGAGCGGCAGCACAGAGGAACUUGUUCCUUGGGUGGCGAGCGGCGGACGGGUGAGUAAUGCCUGGGAAAUUGCCCGGUAGAGGGGGAUAACCAUUGGAAACGAUGGCUAAUACCGCAUAACCUCGUAAGAGCAAAGCAGGGAACCUUCGGGCCUUGCGCUACCGGAUAUGCCCAGGUGGGAUUAGCUAGUUGGUGAGGUAAGGGCUCACCAAGGCGACGAUCCCUAGCUGGUCUGAGAGGAUGAUCAGCCACACUGGAACUGAGACACGGUCCAGACUCCUACGGGAGGCAGCAGUGGGGAAUAUUGCACAAUGGGCGCAAGCCUGAUGCAGCCAUGCCGCGUGUAUGAAGAAGGCCUUCGGGUUGUAAAGUACUUUCAGUAGGGAGGAAGGUGGUUAAG
rnacentral:rRNA from 1 species